ACACAUCGAUGCUCUUUCAUCGGAUCAAUUGGAGAAGAAACCGCGUUUCUCGAAAUUCAAUUCUGGUUUAAAGAAAAAAAGAAUCGCAUAGUUUAACUCAAUGACAGUUUUUCUGCGUGUCUGCAGGCGGGGCGCAGGGCAGCUCUCUCCAGCAGCGCUUCUUCUUUCGGUUUCGAUGCCUGUGGAUAAAUGGCGUCAGAAGCAGGUAGACGUAGUCCACCAUUUGAUCGUCCUGACAUGAGCGACCUGAGGGUCGUGCUUCUAGGAAAGAACAGAUCAGAAAACAGACGGGUGGCAAAGGCUUUACUGGAUACAAUAGUGUUUGGCG